rnacentral:rRNA from 1 species
GACGAACGCUGGCGGCGUGCUUAACACAUGCAAGUCGAACGAUGAACCCGGAGCUUGCUCCGGUGGAUUAGUGGCGAACGGGUGAGGAACACGUGAGAAACCUGCCCUGGACUCUGGGAUAACAGUUGGAAACGACAGCUAAUACCGGAUGCCGUCACCGAGUGGCAUCACUUGGUGACGAAAGAAUUUCGGUCCAGGAGGGUCUCGCGGCCUAUCAGCUAGUUGGUGGGGUAACGGCCUACCAAGGCAUCGACGGGUAGCUGGUCUGAGAGGAUGAUCAGCCACACUGGGACUGAGACACGGCCCAGACUCCUACGGGAGGCAGCAGUGGGGAAUCUUGUGCAAUGGGCGAAAGCCUGACACAGCAACGCCGCGUGCGGGAAGAAGGCCUUCGGGUCGUAGACCGCUUUCAGCAGGAACGAAAAUGACGGUACCUGCAGAAGAAGGUGCGGCCAACUACGUGCCAGCCGCCGCGGUAA